AGCAGCCGCGGUAAUUCCAGCUCCAAUAGCGUAUAUUAAAGUUGUUGCAGUUAAAAAGCUCGUAGUUGAAUUUCGAGACCGGUUUAUUGGUCGUGCUUUUGUACGUACUGGUAUUAUUGGUUUCUCCUUUCUGACGAAUCUUAAUGCCAUUAAUUUGGUGUUUUGGGGAGUCAGGACUGUUACUUUGAAAAAAUUAGAGUGUUUAAAGCAGGCUCACGCUUGAAUACAUUAGCAUGGAAUAACGGAAUAGGACGUUUGAUUCUAUUUUGUUGGUUUCUAGGAUCGACGUAAUGAUUAAUAGGGAUAGUUGGGGGCAUUAGUAUUCAAUUGUCAGAGGUGAAAUUCUUGGAUUUAUUGAAGACUAACUACUGCGAAAGCAUUUACCAAGGAUGUUUUCAUUAAUCAAGAACGAAAGUUAGGGGAUCGAAGACGAUCAGAUACCGUCGUAGU
rnacentral:rRNA from 1 species